rnacentral:rRNA from 1 species
AUGAUAUACGUAAUAACUCGGACAUCUAUUUCAAAUGCAUAUCCCAUUUUUGCGCAGCAGGGUUAUGAAAACCCACGAGAAGCAACUGGACGAAUUGUAUGUGCCAAUUGCCAUUUAGCUAGCAAGCCCGUCGAUACUGAAGUUCCCCAAGCUGUGCUUCCCGAUACUGUAUUUGAAGCAGUUCUUCGAAUUCCUUAUGAUAUGCAAUUGAAACAAGUUCUUGCUAAUGGAAAAAAGGGAGGGUUGAAUGUAGGUGCUGUUCUUAUUUUGCCCGAGGGAUUCGAAUUAGCGCCGCCCGAUCGUAUUUCCCCUGAGUUAAAAGAAAAGAUAGGAAAUCUUGCUUUUCAGAGUUAUCGUCCCGAUAAAAAAACAUUCUUGUGA